GACGAACGCUGGCGGCGUGCUUAACACAUGCAAGUCGAACGGAAAGGCCCUGCUUUUGUGGGGUGCUCGAGUGGCGAACGGGUGAGUAACACGUGAGUAACCUGCCCCUGACUUUGGGAUAACUUCAGGAAACUGGGGCUAAUACCGGAUAGGAGCUCCUGCUGCAUGGUGGGGGUUGGAAAGUUUCGGCGGUUGGGAAUGGACUCGCGGCUUAUCAGCUUGUUGGUGGGGUAGUGGCUUACCAAGGCUUUGACGGGUAGCCGGCCUGAGAGGGUGACCGGCCACAUUGGGACUGAGAUACGGCCCAGACUCCUACGGGGGGCAGCAGUGGGGAAUAUUGCACAAUGGGCGGAAGCCUGAUGCAGCAACGCCGCGUGCGGGAUGACGGCCUUCGGGUUGUAAACCGCUUUCGCCUGUGACGAAGCGUGAGUGACGGUAAUGGGUAAAGAAGCACCGGCUAACUACGUG
rnacentral:rRNA from 1 species